rnacentral:ribozyme from 13 species
UCUUUUUCUUUUUCUUUUUUCUUUUUUUAAUUUGUUUUUGCAAGACAAGAGGGAAGAAGAAUGGAUCCUCAAACAGAGAAAACAGUCACUGAUCUUGUUGAAAUUUUUGGUUUCU